UUAGAUAAUCGCCGACAAAUAAAUGGGGAAAUAAUAAAAAGUAUAUGUACAAUACAAUUCCAACAUGUACCCACCCAAAUUCUUAAGAAGAAAAAAUUUCUUCAAUCAUAAUCAGUAUAAGAAAUUCGUUUUCUCAGUGUUUUUCUAUUUUUUCUAAGUCGGUAACUUGUAUAAGAAAUUGCAGAUUUCAUCCCCUUAUUUGCAGAACAGAAGCAGAUACAAUGUUCCAUUUAAUCAACUCCUCGAAUCUCGAAACACCAGAAUCAUAUUUUUCUGUAGACUUGGAACUGUAGACUGCAUCAAAUCAUUUUUGCAAAUCAACAUUAGCAAAAUCUAAUGAAAAACCAAGAAAAAAUAGCAUAUGCUGGGGGAAAAAAACACUUGCAAAUAAAUACAAAUCGAAAACUAAGUAAAAGAUUGAAUCAUCCACACCAAAAAGAUUGAUGGAGAAACUUGAUGCAAACGAUUUAAAAAACGAAUCGAACACAAAUAUACAAUCCUAAUUCAGAAACCCAAUCGAGAAUUGGCUUAAUUACUUCUCAAGAGAAAUCCGACUAGUCUUUAUCCCGUCUCUGUUAUUUGCCUUUUUUACUCUUAAUUCGAAUUUCUGAAGCAGUUCAUACAGAAAGGAAGCGAGGAGUGGUGAGUGAAAACAUACAAAACGUGUGUGAAAGGGGAUGAGAUAGAGAAAAAACUUUAACCCUAGAUGAAAUGCAUUUUGUAAAGGCCAAUUGCAGGAAAACUAAAUGUGGUCAUUGAUUGAGUUUUGUAUACACGUUCUAGGUAAUACUUGAAAAGAUACGUCUUAAAUUCCUGUAAACAUACCAGAUGAGCAGAUCAGACUUGCAAUCAUAUCGUAUUUUGGUUAAACCAAAAUUGUACAUUCUAAACCAUCUUAAUCCAUCAGGAACAUGGCAACAAAAACUGUGUAAAUCCAAAAAUUGGUUGAAAUCGUACUAUAAGUAGAUUGUAGUGCCCGUGGACUUACGUUGUCCUCCUCUUCUCGUUGAUGUUUCUCUCUCUUUUCUCACAUUAUGGUACUGUCACUACCAAAUCUUUUUCAAACAGAAAAUAUUUAUUAAGAGAGCAAUACAUGUGUUUCUUUGCUUCACCAAAAUUAGUUAAAACUAGUUUUAAAUUUUUAUGCUUUUACUGUUGUUAGACGAUGUUUCUUGAAGUCAAAGUGGCUGCUUGGUCUGGUUCAGCCGUGUUGUUGUCUGCCUUGUAUUGAGGACUAGACUAUAAAAUGAAUAAAAAAGCUCCACUUUUACUUCUUUGCUUAUUAAAAAUAUUUUGCUUUCGAUUGUUUUAUUGUUUUGAGCAUGAAGAAAAUGGGGGUCCAAUUGAGAACAUGGGUAAAAUGAUGAAUAUGAUUAUUGCAUGAUGAAGGGUUUUUAAAUUUAUGACAAAAUAAAAGAAAUACAAAUCUACCAUUCUUCAAAUCCCACAAACAGGUAACCGGUCAUUUUUUAGGGCAAAAUAUGAAUGAGGGUGCAAAGUGCAAAAGAAAUUCUAAUUGGAGGGUGCAUUUUGCCAUUUUUCUAAUUUAAGGGUGCAAAGUGCCAAUGAGAUGUAAUUCGAGGGUGCAAAGUGCCAAUUACCCUAAUUAUCAUCUACAACAAACAAUUAAUAAUAACAAAAAGGGCAUGUAAUUACACAAAUUUCUUUAUUCCAGAGACGGAAGAAACAAAAAGGGCAUGUAAUUAUUCAUAUGGACACUUUCUUUCCCAAAUUAUCAUAUAACAAAAUGAUCGACCCAAUAAUCCCGAAAUGAAAAAAAAAAAAGAACAAAAACAUAUACAUGAACAUACAUCACCAGAAGUACACAUUCAAGAGAAAAAAAACCGCAGAAAAUUAAAGAAGAUCGAGAAAUAGAGGCUUAUCGGAGUGAGAGGAAAAUGAUAAGGGGCAGAUAUCGAUGAUGAAACCCUAGGCAAAUUAAACCCCUUUUCACCUUAACAAAAAGUGAAGAAAGAUGGGUGGCCUGAACUCUGAAGACCGAGAGAAGAAAAUGAGAGAGAAAAUUAAAAGAGGUGGAGACAUA
rnacentral:lncRNA from 1 species